GACGAACGCUGGCGGCGUGCCUAACACAUGCAAGUCGAACGGAACUGUUUUGAAAGAUUUCUUCGGAAUGAAUUUGAUUUAGUUUAGUGGCGGACGGGUGAGUAACGCGUGAGUAACCUGCCUUCAAGAGGGGGAUAACAUUCUGAAAAGAAUGCUAAUACCGCAUGACAUAUCGGAACCACAUGGUUUUGAUAUCAAAGAUUUUAUCGCUUGAAGAUGGACUCGCGUCCGAUUAGUUAGUUGGUGAGGUAACGGCUCACCAAGACCGCGAUCGGUAGCCGGACUGAGAGGUUGAACGGCCACAUUGGGACUGAGACACGGCCCAGACUCCUACGGGAGGCAGCUGUGGGGGAUAUUGCGCAAUGGGGGCAACCCUGACGCAGCAACGCCGCGUGAAGGAUGAAGGUUUUCGGAUUGUAAACUUCUUUUAUUAAGGACGAAA
rnacentral:rRNA from 1 species